rnacentral:rRNA from 1 species
GACCAGACUCCUACGGGAGGCAGCAGGGAGGAAUAUUGGUCAAUGGCCGGAAGGCUGAACCAGCCAAGUCGCGUGAGGGACGACUGCCCUAUGGGUUGUAAACCUCUUUUAUAAGGGAAGAAUAAAUGCUACGUGUAGCAUGAUGCCUGUACCUUAUGAAUAAGCAUCGGCUAACUCCGUGCCAGCAGCCGCGGUAAUACGGGGGAUGCAAGCGUUAUCCGGAUUUAUUGGGUUUAAAGGGUGCGUAGGCUGUGAGGUAAGUCAGCGGUGAAAUGCCCCCGCUCAACGGGGUGAAGUGCCAUUGAUACUGCCUUGCUGGAAUGCGGAUGCCGUGGGAGGAAUGUGUGGUGUAGCGGUGAAAUGCAUAGAUAUCACACAGAACACCGAUUGCGAAGGCAGCUUACCAAUCUAUAUCUGACGUUGAGGCACGAAAGCGUGGGGAGCAAACAGGAUUAGAUACCCUUGUAA